UAGCGGCCCCUCACAGUCUCAUCGCGUAACUACUUCUCGAAUGCUGCUUAGCGAUUGUCCAUGUAUAAUUUGCAUAUACGUAGAGAUAUUGCGGUCACGGAAUAUUUUGCACAUUGCUAAAAAGAAAACCCCUAAUUAUAUUUUUACAAGUGAAAAACAAAAGGAAACAAUCAGGAAAAUGCUGCAAAGUUGGUAAAUCCUGAUGGAUAUGACACAAACAGAUAAGAAGAAUCGACGAUGGAAAAAUAUUCUUGUAUGAAGCAUAAUAAUUAUUUGAGAAAAAUAGACGCGCGUCUUUUUCAAGUAAUUCCAAGUUGUAUGCAACUAUAAUUAUUCCGCGUGUGUUCGGAAACACGCUCAGACGAAAAAGCCGUCGUUUCUUUGGUAUCCAAAUAUAUCCCGAAACUUGUGCGGGCUGUCUCUCUCCUUCUGUUUCUCUCCGCCUCUGUGGAUGAAACUCUCUCAAAAAGGAAUAAGUCCGCGAGCUUCUUGGAAUGCCUAGACCAUUACACGAAACUCAAAAUAACACACGACGGACGGUCCUUGCUCUACAUUUUUUCGUCGCCGUUUUAGAUUUAACUGUGUCGUUUCAUUCGCGUCUUACGCGAAUGCAAAUAUUAUGUCUGCCAAGACUGUCUUAUAUUUUUUAUAUUAAUAAGUACAAAAAGUUUCUAAUGUCUCUGCAAAUAUGUAUUUUUAUAACGGAGAAAUAUCUUUCUCUGAUGAAUAAUUAAAAAUAUUAAAUAUCGUGCAUACAAAUUUACGUUAUAUUUCUCGACAUAUAAUUCUUUACAAUGUAGAAAAAUAUGCGAACAAUAUAUAUACCUGAAAGACA